rnacentral:rRNA from 1 species
GAUGAACGCUGGCGGCGUGCCUAAUACAUGCAAGUCGAGCGAACAGACGAUGAGCUUGCUCCUCUAACGUUAGCGGCGGACGGGUGAGUAACACGUGUAUAACCUACCUAUAAGACUGGGAUAACUUCGGGAAACCGGAGCUAAUACCGGAUAAUAUAUUGAACCGCAUGGUUCAAUAGUGAAAGACGGUUUUGCUGUCACUUAUAGCUGGAUCCGCGCCGCAUUAGCUAGUUGGUAAGGUAACAGCUUACCAAGGCAACGAUGCGUAGCCGGCCUGAGAGGGUGAUCGGCCACACUGGAACUGAGACACGGUCCAGACUCCUACGGGAGGCAGCAGUAGGGAAUCUUACGCAAUGGGCGAAAGCCUGACGGAGCAACGCCGCGUGAGUGAUGAAGGUCUUCGGAUCGUAAAACUCUGUUAUGAGGGAAGAACAAAUGUGUAAGUAAAUAUGCACGUAUUGACGGUACCUAAUCAGAAAGCAACGGCUAACUACGUG